AACUACCUUUUUCUACAUACUAGACCAAUCUGCUAUGCAUUAAGUGAAUUGUCAGUCCAAUGUUCAACUAGUUUGUUGCAUAUUUUAUUAAAUUGAUGGUUUAAACUCCUGCAAUUAAUGAGUCUAAAGAUUUGAGACACUGAAAUGCUUUUUUUGAUACAUGCGAAAAACAUGAACCGCUGAGCUGGGAUUUGAGAGUAUAUAUUGCUUUAGACGUAGCACGCGGUCUAGAGUAUCUUCACGAUGGAAGGAGAGAGCCCCGAGACUGUGGAAAUGGAACGCGGUGAUCUCUACUUCAUACGCUACAAGAUUGUUAAAGGAGCAAUCAUAUCUGGCCAAAUUGACUUGAUCUGAGCUCAGUCAUGGAUUUUUCACUCAAAUCUCUUUCCAUAGCCAUAAGUGAAAGAUAGUGCUACCAUUGUUCAUUAUGUCAUGAACCUGAUUUACUUGAGUUGUAUAGUGGAUUUUUCUAUAUUGUUCUGAGUUUCCUAAUGUCUUCAUAAAAAAACCUAAUUAAAAACUCUAAAUUAUUUGGAGCAAAUCAGUAUUACAAUUAGUCAUUUUCUC